rnacentral:rRNA from 1 species
UACGGAGGGUGCAAGCGUUGCUCGGAAUUAUUGGGCGUAAAGGGUAGGUAGGUGGUCUCAUUUGUCUGGGGUGAAAGCCUUGAGCUUAACUCAAGAAGUGCCCCAGAAACGGUGAGACUGGAGUCCUGGAGAGGGUCGUGGAAUUCCCGGUGUAGCGGUGAAAUGCGUAGAGAUCGGGAGGAACACCAGAGGCGAAAGCGGCGACCUGGACAGGUACUGACACUCAACUACGAAAGCGUGGGGAGCAAACAGGAUUAGAAACCCCAGUAGUCC